rnacentral:pre_miRNA from 1 species
AUAACAUUCGGACCGUCAGUCUACCGAGUAAUUUCACCCGCUGGGGUGGAAGAUCUUUCUUUUGUCGU